UACGGAGGGGACUAGCGUUGUUCGGAAUUACUGGGCGUAAAGCGCACGUAGGCGGAUUUGUAAGUCAGGGGUGAAAUCCCGGGGCUCAACCCCGGAACUGCCUUUGAUACUGCAAAUCUCGAGUCCGGAAGAGGUGAGUGGAAUUCCUAGUGUAGAGGUGAAAUUCGUAGAUAUUAGGAAGAACACCAGUGGCGAAGGCGGCUCACUGGUCCGGUACUGACGCUGAGGCACGAAGGCCAGGGGAGCAAACGGG
rnacentral:rRNA from 1 species